rnacentral:rRNA from 1 species
GAUGAACGCUAGCGAUAGGCUUAACACAUGCAAGUCGAGGGGCAGCACAAGGUAGCUUGCUAUCUGGGUGGCGACCGGCGCACGGGUGCGUAACGCGUAUGCAACUUGCCCUAUACAGGAGGAUAACCCGUCGAAAGACGGACUAAUACUGCGUAUGCUCACAACUUGGCAUCAAGUGGUGAGGAAAGAAAUUCGGUAUAGGAUAGGCAUGCGUCCCAUUAGCAUGUUGGUGAGGUAACGGCUCACCAAGGCAACGAUGGGUAGGGGAACUGAGAGGUGUAUCCCCCACACUGGUACUGAGACACGGACCAGACUCCUACGGGAGGCAGCAGUGAGGAAUAUUGGUCAAUGGGCGCGAGCCUGAACCAGCCAAGUCGCGUGAAGGAUGACUGUCUUAUGGAUUGUAAACUUCUUUUAUACGGGAAUAACAAGAGUCACGUGUGACUCCCUGCAUGUACCGUAUGAAUAAGCAUCGGCUAACUCCGUG